ensembl:snRNA U6 U6 spliceosomal RNA
GUGCUCAUUUCAGCGGCACAUAUACUAAAAUUGGAACAAUACGGAAAUUAGCACGGUGCCUGUGCAGGGAUGACACACAAAUUCAUGAAGCAUUCCACGGAUAU